GAGAAGGAAUUAAACAAUCAGGAGCGGGCGAGAAUAAUGAGGAAAAGGAGGGUGUGAAUCUUGGGCAACAGCUUUCUUUGUUCUUCGUUCUUUUCCUUUUUUUGUAUU
rnacentral:ribozyme from 1 species